rnacentral:lncRNA from 1 species
CAUUAUUGUACACUUACUGGGAAAAUUAUUUGUAGUAGCAACAUGACACUUGCUGCAAAGUUACAGUUUUCAUAUAAAAAUGGACAAGGAAAAUUCAGGAAAGGAAAUUAGAAACCAAUCUCAUGAGUAUAAAGAUAAAAUGCUGACAAAUUUAGCAGUUCACUAAAUAAUAUGCAACAGACAAGAAGGAUUUAUUCUGGAAGUGUGAGAAAUAAAAAUUUCUUUAAAAACACACCACUCAUUUGCUCAAAAAUUUCCAAUGACAAAAUACAAAGCUCUGUCCUGAGGAUCUUUGUACCUCUGAUUCCUUCAGCCUCCCAUAGGCUUUCUUAGACCUUUUUACACCUAAAUGAGGCCUCCUCUCAUUGAACCAUUUAUUAUUUAGAAACACUCCCUAUCUCCUUUCUCCACUUUUUUUUUCCCCUCAGAGAACUUACCAUGACCUAUUAUGUAUUUUAUUUUCUGCCUCCCCAAUGAGAUUUGUUUUUGGGGGGGCGGAGGGAUUGAACUCAGGGAUGCUCUACCACUAAGCUACAUCCCUAGCUGUUUUUACUUUUUAUUUUGAGACAGUACUGAGGCUGGCCUCAAACUUGUGAUCUUCUGCCUUAGCCUCCUGAGUCCUGGGGGCUUCACCACCCCUAACCUCCAGCUAGAAUUUAAGCUUCAUUAAGAUGGGUUUUUUCCCCUUUUUUUCUUUUUUGGUACCAGAGGGUUUCGUUUUUGAACCCAGAGGCUCUUAACCACUAAGCCGCAUCCCCAGCUCUUUUUAUUUAUUUGUUUUAUUUUGAGUCAGGGUCUCACCAAGUUGUUAAGGGACUUGCUAAGUUUCUGAGGCUGACUUUGAACUUUCAGUCCUCUCGCCUCAGUCUCUCAACCUGUUGGGAUUACAGGCAUAUAAUGCACCUGCACCUGGCAGGUGGGGAUCUUUUUCUCUUUGUUUCCUGCUGUUUUUCCCAAGUCUAGAACAGUGCUCAGCACAUUGUAGGCACUCAACAAAUAUUUAUUGAAUAAAUAAAUGAAUGGCUAGUUCAAAAGUAGAAGCCUCAUCAACAGAUUAAUAAAAGCAAAAUUAUGAUAAUUUCAAAUCAUAUACAGAAAAAUUUGACAAUAUUGUUCAUAAGAACUCUUAGAAAACAAUAAAACAGAAGAUAACAGAAGAGAGUUUUGACUUGCUAGUGAUCAGACAUAUAGAGCUGUCAUACUUGAUGAUGGAACUUGAACAUUCUGUGAAGUGAGAAUCAAGGCCAGAAAGUUCCUCCUGUCUACCUAUUCAGCAUAAAGUCUAAGAGAUAUAAAUAUAAGGAAGUAAAAACAUAGCUAUCAUAUUUGCUGAGGAAGUCUACAUUGAAUAUUCAAGAGGGUCUACCAGCUAUUAAAACUACUAGAAAGUUCAGCAAGCUAUUGCUUAAAGAUCAAUCUUCUUACACACUUGUGGUAGUAGCUGGCAAUAAUGCAUGUAAUAGGAAAAGUGAUCUAAUUUAUAAUAACCUAAACAUAUGUCUAUUUAGAAAUUAAAAGAUGUUAGCUCUACAUGGAGAAAAUUACAGAAUAUUAUCAAGGGACAAAAAGGACCUGACUAAAUGGAGAUAUAUUUAUAGAUGAGAAGAAAUAACAUAUGACAAAAUGUCUAUUCUGUUCACAUUAAUCUAUAAAUUAAAUUGUAUGCCUGGGACUGGAGUGUUGCUCUGUGGUAGACUAUGUACUUAUCAUACCUGAGAUUCUAGGUUCAAAACCUAGCACAUGCACACCCAUGGGUAUUCUUUUUUUUUUAUUUUUAAAGAGAGAGUGAGAGAGAGAGAGAGAUUUUUUUUUUUUUUUUUUAAAGAGAGAGUGAGAGAGAGAAAGAAAGAGAGAGAGAGAAUUUUUCAACGUUUAUUUUUCAGUUCUCGGCGGACACAACAUCUUUGUUGGUAUGUGGUGCUGAGGCUCGAACCCGGGCCGCGCGCAUGCCAGGCGAGCGCGCUACCGCCUGAGCCACAUCCCCAGCCCCGAGAGAGAGAUUUUUAAUAUUUAUUUAUUUUUUUAGUUUUCGGCGGACACAACAUCUAGUUUGUAUGUGGUGCUGAGGAUCGAAACUGGGCCGCACGCAUGCCAGGCGAGCGCGCUACUGCUUGAGCCACAUCCCCAGCCCCAACAUGGGUAUUCUUAAUGAUUUUGCCUAGAAUUUGAAAGUUUAACCCAAAAUUCAUGUGAAAAGACAAAAAGCCCAGAAUGGUUAAAAGGCAACUCUUUUAUUUUUUUGUGGGGGAUACUGAGAAUUGAAUCCAGGGGCACUCUACUACUGAACUACAUCCCCAACCCCUUAAAAAAAUUUUUUUUUUUGAGACAGGGUAUCAUUAAGUUGCUGAGGCUUCUUGAAUUUUCCAUCCUCCUGUCUCGGCCUAGGUUGACUUGGGUCCAACUUGACUUGAUGUUACUACUCAUCUCUGAUGAGGAUUAACUCUCAACUUUGUGAUAGUGGGUAGGGUGGAACCUGAGGAUGGUGGUGACUCAGAACUGCAAAGAUUAGGGGAGAUGAUGGGCUGGGGUUGUGGCUCAGCGGUAGAUCGCUCACUUGCCUAGCACAUGCGAGACCCUGGGUUCGAUUCUUAGCACCUCAUAAAAAUAAAAUAAAGAUAUUGUGUCCAUCUAUAACUAAAGAAAAGAAUGAAAUAUUAAAAAAAAAAAGAUUAGGGAAGAUGAGUUCUGACAAAGAUCAGCACACAGAGUUGACUGAUUUGUUUCAUUUUCCUACUGAUACUACUAUAGCCUUAAGAAAUUUUUUGAGUAUGGGAUUAGUGUUUCCUUGUUUUUAGCAAGUGUUUAACAGGAAUUUAUUUAUUUAUUUAUGUGGUAUCAGAGAUUGAACCCAAAAAUGCUUAACCACUGAGUCACAUCCCUGGCCUUUUUUAUUUUUUAUUUUAAGACAGGGUAUCACUAGGUCACUAAGUUGCUCACAGCCUCCCUAAAUUGCUGAGACUGGCUUCAAACCUGAGAUCCUCCUGCCUCAGCCUCCUGAGCCUCGGAGAUUACAGGUGUGUCCUACCACACUUGGCCUUUAAUAGGAAUUUACUCUGUACUAAGUGUGGUAUCUGUUUAGUUGAAACAUAGGAACACUUUUGAUUUGAUGGAAAAGCUUUUUAUUUCUUCAGCAUAUCAUUUAUGUUGCUAAAGAUUUAAUUAUUUUGAAUUUAUAGUUGACAUAGUGCCCUAAAGCUGGAUGCUAUGGUGCAUGCCCAUAAUCCCAGUAACUCAAGAGACUGAGGCAAGAGGAUUGCAAGUUUGAGGCCAGCCACAGCAGUUUAGCAAGGCCCUAAGCAAUUUAGUGAGACUCAGUCUCAAAAAAGUAAAAUAAAAAGGACUGGGUAGCUCAGAGGUAAAGCACUCUUGGGUUCAAUCCCUGGUGCCACACACACACACACACACAAAAAAAAAAAAAAAUAGAAAAAAAGGAAGAAGAAAAAAAGAAACAUUGUAUUAAAUUGGGAACAUUUCAUUAUUUGGGAAAGUGAUUAUUUAGGAAUGCCAGCAUAAAUGAAAAAUAAAUAUUGCCAGAAUCAAAUUUGGCUGUACAUGAUAUGGGCCUUAGUGAGAACCCUUUUUUUUUUUUUUUUUUUUGUGGUACUGAGGAUAAACCCAGGAGCACCUUACCACUAAGCUACGUCCUAAGCCAUUUCCAGUUUUCAUUUUGAGACAGGAUCUCACUUAUUUGUCCAGGCUGGCUUUGAACUUGUAGUCCUCCUACCUUUGUCUCCUGAAUUGCUGGGAUUAUAGGAAUGAGCCAUCAUACCUGGUUGUACCUUGAUUUAUAUAUUCCAGUAACAGAGGUGUCAGCCAAUAUUGAUGUGCUGUUCUGGUAAUAACCAGUUCUUGUAUGGCUCUUUUUUUUGGUAUGGAAGGGAGAUACUGGGGAUUGAACUCAGGGGCACUUAACCACAAAGCCACAUCCCCAGUUCUUUUUUGUAUUUUGUUUAGAGACAGGGUCUUGCUAAGUACUUAGCACCUCACCAUUGCUGAGGCUGACUUUGAACUCUCCAUCCUCCUGCCUCAGCCUCCUGAGCCAUUGGGAUAACAGGUAUGCGCCAUCCACCCAACUUGUAUAGCUCUUAUAGUUAUCAAUAAGUACUUUUGCCCACUUCCUUUCACUUGUACCUCAAAGUCAUGUAAAGGUCAUUUUUAUUCAGUGAUCCUUUAUAAAAUAGAUUUUUUUUGUCCUAGAUCUUGAGAAACCAAAGAAAGGACAAUGACUGUGACUUCAGGUAACACAGAUAACAUUGGGAAUAUACAACCAGGAAUAAAAAUGUGAGACAGUGAUUAGAGAGGGAGACUGAAAAUUAGGUGUAAUGAUAGAUAGUGAUGGCAUCCAUAAUCUUUGUUAUAUUUUUGGUCAAGGAAGAAUUGGUGUGUCUUCCACCAUUUUGAAAUUAUACUUCACAAUUUACAUAGCCCAUAUGAUGUACUUUUGAAAAUUAUAUUACAUUUUCUAUGGUUAUAGUUUUUUCCCUCUGAAAAAUCUGGAUGACAUGUUAGAGUGUUCAGUUUAGGUCAGCUUCCUUAAUGCUGUUUGUAGAAGGAUUACUUCCGUGCCACAAUUUGGCCUUUUUGCAUCCAUAAUGCAGAUUUGUUUAUUAGAAAUAUAGCUUUUUAGGUUUUUGCUGUUAAAUCUGAAAAAGAUGAAGAGAAAUAAAACAUGACAAAUCUAGAGGAGUGUGCUGUUCGACAUGUAAAAAAAAAUCCCCAUGUCAACAAAAACAGAAGCUCUUGAAAUGAAGAACAGAAAAGUCAGUGAUUAUUCUUAUUAUCUGUGAUUAUUAUCAUUAUUAUGUCCACUUGGGUGUUGAAGUGAUCAGGAUAUCAAUGAUAGAAUUAAAUGAAAAUGUACUUUUAAAAUUUGAAAAACAGAGAAACCAUUGCUUUUCAAUAUCUGUUAUAUACUCAAAAAAGUUUGCUUUUGUCAGGUAAGCAUUCAUGUUGAAUACAUAGUCCAUUUGUAUUAAUUACACUGAUAAAAUUAUGUAUGGCAAAGGAAAUCCAAAUUUUCUGCAGAGUCUUUUGUGGAUUUUGUAGAAUCCCUCAUUUCAUAUGAAUUUGACCCUAUAAACACUGUAAUAAAAGCUUUCUUAGGGGUUAGUUUUCUUUUGGAAUGGUAUCCCUUUAUUUUUAUACUUGAUUCCAACAGAAAACCUCUACCCAAUAUAAUAAUGAAAUGAUUUCAAUUUGUUUUUGUUGUUGUUGUUUUUGGGGUGCUGGCAAUUAAACCCAAGACUUACAUGUGUGCUAGGCAAGUGCUCUGCUGCUGAGCUACACCUCUAGCCCAAUGGAAUGAUUUUUAAGCAAUGUUACUAUCUUAUCAGGGAAAGCUAGCCUCCACGAGAAUCCUGAGACUCCGCCAUCUCCUCACCAUUGCCAAAUCAAUAUUUUUCAUUAGUACUGGUCUUUGGAUUGUAUAUUUGCACUGUAACAACACAUUACAGAUGGAUGCAUAUAUUAAAAUGGCCUAGUAAUCCUCUCUGUUUUUUUUUUUUAUGGAAUUAAGAUGUAGAUUUUAUCAGUGACUAACCACGAUCCCGCAUGUGAAACACUGUAAGAUACUUGAUAAUUUUUGGAAAAUUUCAAAUUGGUUGGAUAAUUUGAUCUCCUUUUGUGUGUGUGUGUGUGUGUGCGCUCGCGUGCGUGCAUGCAGGUUUUGGGGAUGAAAGUGUCAUUCUGUAGUUGAAAGAAUGGAAUUUUUGUAAUCAAAGUGAUUUUGGUUGAAAUCCUUGCCCUAUCACUGAUACCUUUCAGUGUGUAACUGAACCUCUCUGAAUUUAAAUGUCUUCACUAGUAAAAAGGAACCAAUAUUACUUUAUAGGUUCUUAUGAAAAUUAAAUUAAGCCUUAACAUGAUGUCUAGCAUAUAUUAAAUUAAAUUAUUCUAUUUUCAGUAAUACAAAGAUAUAGAGUAAUAUUUAGUACAUUUCAUUUGCAGCUCAAAGGUUCAUAAACUCAAUAAAGAUGAGUUUCCUCCCAAUAGUAAUUUCCCAUUGUUAUAUAGAGUAAUUUUGAUAAAAACAUUGCUAUAUAAAUUAUUGGAAUUGUUGUUAACAUUUGAUCACCAGUGGAAAUGUAAACAUUAUUGCAUUCUGGUUUUAUUUAUUUAUUUAUUUUUUAGUUAUAGACACAAUGCCUGUAUUUUAUUUAUUUUUAUUUGGUGCUGAGGAUUGAACCCAGUACCUCACAUGUGCUAGGCGAGUGCUCUACCACUGAACCACAACCCCAGCCCCUGUUUUUUAGUUUUAUUGUUAGUGUCUUCUCCUCCUCCUCCUCCUCCUUCU